CAACAUCUUUCUUUGUAUGUGGUGCUGAGGAUCGAACCCCGGGCCGCACGCAUGCCAGGCAAGCGUGCUACACCGCUUGAGCCACCUCCCCAGCCCUAUCUUUUGUUUUUAAAAAUUUCUACACUACAGUACUUAAUGUGGAUAUUCCUAGGUUUUUAAGUUGUAAACUUGGACUCCCUCCCCAAAUUCCCAAGGCCUGGGGAACCUACGGUGACUCUAUCAAUGAACUGACUACAUCCCUAAUCCUUUUAUAAAUUUUGAGACAGACUAUCUCUAAAUUGCCCUGGCUGGCUUUGGUGGUCCUCCCACCUCAGGCUCCCAAAUAGCUAGGAUUACAAAUAAGCACCACCUCACCCAAGCUAUUCUAGGUUUUCUUUUUUUAAAGAAGCUACUCUAUUGAUGACAUGUAGAUUUCUUUCUUGCUUUUUUUUGUGUGUAUGUGGGCGGGUGGUACUGAACUCAGUGGCACUUGACCACUGAGCCACAUCCCCAGCCCUAUUUUGUAUUUUAUUUAAAGACAGGGUUUCACUGAGUUGCUUAGUGCACUUUUGCUGAGGCUGGCUUUGAACUCAGGAUCUUCCUGCCUCAGCCUCCUGAGCUGCUAGAAUUACAGGUCUGCAUCAUCAUGCCUAGCUAUAUAGAUUAUUUUCAAAGCUUUGCCCUCUGGCCAAUGUCUGUUGCUUGCACCUAUCUAUGUAAGGACUUCUUUAGGGCACAACUAGAGAAAGGCAUGACAAUUCUAGGUUGUAGGCUACCCGCAGAGCUAAGUGCUCAGUAGAUAUUGCCAAAUUGCCAUCUAAAGUGGGACAGCUUGCACUCCCAUCAGCAGUAAUGAAGGGUACCCAUUUUCCUACACCCGUAGCACUAAUACUCCUACAAACUUCCCCAUUUUUGGAGGGUGGCUUUUCACUCCUCAGGAUCCCAUAGCUCCCCGCAGGCCCCGUUCUUAUGAGUACCCUUUACACUUCAGAAACAGCAGGAACAGGCAGGGUUUUUUCCUAUUCUAAUCACCAGCUCUCAAGAGUGUUAUUGCCUCCUAAUUCUCACCUUUGUCAGGAAACCCCUACAGGUGUGCUCUGAACCCAGACCUCACUAUUUGAUAGUUUCAUUCCAAGCAAUUGUCCCCUUUCUCUUUUCAACCAUUAAUCAAUAUUUCUUUCUUUCUUUCUUUCUUUCUUUCUUUCUUUCUUUCUUUCUUUCUUUCUUUUUCUGGAUGAUUCUUAUCACCAUAUAAAGAUCUGGUAUCAAAAGAAUAGGGACAGGGGAUGUAGCUCAGUGGUAGGAGCACUUACCUAGUUAGCAUGUGUGAAACCCAGGGUUCAACUCCCACCAGAGCAGGAAAAAGUUUGUUUGACCUUCACAUCCUCCAAUAUCUUUGAAUUUCUGGGCUCUGCUCACAGCAUAAUGGUCUACACUGACUUCUUUACCACUCAUUCACCAUGGCCUAUGUCCAUCCCCUUAUUCCCAAACCUCUACCCAUCAGUAACCAAAAUUGCUCCAGCCAAAUCUGAUGGGCCCUUUCAGACUCUAUCUCCCAGUCAUAUUCAACAUGAAUGACAUUCUCUUCUAGAAAUACCCCGUUCCUCACCUUCUGCUUCCAGGGUAUUGCUCUAAAUCCCUUGAGCUGGGUCCUCUUCUGAGCCCUGAUGGUCCACUGGGUUGUCUUUUGUUCCCCAGCUAUACUUAUUAAUCUCAUUUCAUGGCAUGGCUUUCAGUACAACUUCCACAUUUUUAUAUCUCACCUUGACCUCCCUACCGUGCUGGAUAUUGACAUUUUGGCAUCUCCACUUAAUGUGUCUAAUGGGCUUCACAAAGUUGGAAUGUUUGUGGGGUUGGGGUUGUAGCUCAGUGGUAGAGUGCUUGCCUAGCACAUGUGAGGCACUGGGUUCAAUCCUCAGCACCACAUACAAAUAAAUAGAUAAAAUAAAGGCAUUGUGUCCAUCUACAACUA
rnacentral:lncRNA from 1 species